UAUAUUUGCAUAGAUUUUGGUUUUGAUGUAGAAAUCAUUUUACAUCAAAUUAAAAGGGAAUCUGGUUAAAUUCCAGAACUGUUCCCGCAACUGUAAGCUACUUAGCUUGUAACUAAUUCUUUAACCACUGUUUGUAUAAAUGGGAAGGUUUGUUACAAGACGCAAGUCAGGAAACCUGCCAUAAAUCACGAGUUAAA
rnacentral:ncRNA from 2 species